rnacentral:rRNA from 1 species
UUGGGUCCGUAACCUCUUUUCUCAAGGAAGAAGAAAGUGACGGUACUUGAGGAAUAAGCAUCGGCUAACUCCGUGCCAGCAGCCGCGGUAAUACGGAGGAUGCAAGCGUUAUCCGGAAUGAUUGGGCGUAAAGGGUCUGCAGGUGGAACUGAAAGUCUGCUGUUAAAGAGUUUGGCUUAACCAAAUAAAAGCGGUGGAAACUACAGAACUAGAGUGCGGUAGGGGCAAAAGGAAUUCCUGGUGUAGCGGUGAAAUGCGUAGAUAUCAGGAAGAACACCGGUGGCGAAAGCGUUUUGCUAGACCGUAACUGACACUGAGGGACGAAAGCUAGGGGAGCGAAUGGGAUUAGAUACCCCAGUAGUCCUAGCCGUAAACGAUGGAUACUAGGCGUGGCUUGUAUCGACCCGAGCCGUGCCGGAGCUAACGCGUUAAGUAUCCCGCCUGGGGAGUACGCACGCAAGUGUGAAACUCAAAGGAAUUGACGGGGGCCCGCACAAGCGGUGGAGUAUGUGGUUUAAUUCGAUGCAACGCGAAGAACCUUACCAAGACUUGACAUCCUGCGAAUCCCGGUGAAAGCUGGGAGUGCCUUAGGGAGCGCAGAGACAGGUGGUGCAUGGCUGUCGUCAGCUCGUGUCGUGAGAUGUUGGGUUAAGUCCCGCAACGAGCGCAACCCUCGUUUUUAGUUGCCAGCAUUAAGUUGGGCACUCUAGAGAGACUGCCGGUGACAAACCGGAGGAAGGUGAGGAUGACGUCAAGUCAGCAUGCCCCUUACGUCUUGGGCUACACACGUACUACAAUGCUACGGACAGAGGGCAGCGAGCCAGGGAUGGCAAGCGAAUCCAGAAACCGUAGCUCAGUUCAGAUCGAAGGCUGCAACUCGCCUUCGUGAAGGAGGAAU